rnacentral:lncRNA from 10 species
ACAGUGGCCUGCUGUCUGCAUGGGGUCUUUCUGUCUCUGUACCACCUGCUGCCCCAGUGCAGGUGAGAGGCAGUGCUGUGAGGCCCAGUGGACUGGGAAGACAGACUUUGUACAGCCUACCAUCUGCUCUUGUCCUAACCAUUCAUUUUCACAGGUAACCCAACCAGUUGCUCACCUGACUCUCAGGGCCUUGCCCUGACUUUCCCAAAGCAAUUCCUGACUCCCUCUAAGUUUGCUGUUUAACAUUUGUGAUAUUUUUAAGCUCAUUUGCUGCCUUCUCUGGGUUCUUUUGUUUUGGAAUCAUUGUUCUGACGGAAUAUUCUCCAGGCUGGGCACUUCCACUAGAAGCUUUCUCAGAAAAUGAGCUGUAGUCGUUCUUUCCAGUCCUCACCAAUUUGAAAUGCCUUUCUCCCAGUCACGGAGAAGGAGCUUUGGACAGAAGAAGGUUUCUUUGCAAGAAAGCCAAAUGGAUUACAACAUGUUCCAGCUUUUAGUGGCACGUCAGGAUUCCAUGGAGUCACAUGCUUUUUACUUGGUCUGUGAAGUGCUACGGUGAGGACCCCCCGGCAGCCUCUGCUCUCAACAUAUCCUCCGUGAAUCAGUUCCGCCCUUCCCUGAUUGCGGCUGUCUGAAAAUAAAUCCCUCUCUGAAAGCGCUCGUUGGUGAUAAUCAUUUUACUGGACAUUUUAUCAGGAGGCAGAGCCAAUUGAUGUGGUGUAACACAGAGCCCUGAUGAAAACACCAUCAUGCUGCUUCCCGCUUCUCUCUUUCCUUCCUCGAGGUUCUAUUUCUGCCAGCAAUCUCAUUUUUGCCACCAGUGCUGACGAUAACGAAAUCUCCUUAUUGUCCUGUUGCUUUUGGAUUCCAACGCGCCUUUCUGAGGGCCACCCAGCUCCUUCCUGCCACUGCGGUGCAUCCCGCGCAGAUGCCACUCCCACACACAACUGGGCUGCUGUUCUGGUGUCCUUUACCCACUCUUCCGCUAAGGUGCUCUGUCAGCGCUUUUUCUUCUUUUGAGGAUCUGUCUCACCUCCGUGCCUCGGGGCCACCGACCUAGUGAAGGAUGGACACGUGCCCCAACAAGCCUCCCUCUCCCGGGAAUGGGGCUCUCCUGGGACCCGGUCAGUGACCCCACAGCCGUCUGCUCCUGGGGCCUUGAGGCCUACUCCAAUCCUCACCCAUGUCCAUGGCUCUGCAUUGUCUUUAGUGGUAUCCUGUAUCUGAGUAUCAAUUUUAGCUGGAAUAUUUUGUAUUGCUGGAAAAUGAAGAAAAUUAAGUGAUGGAAACAUUCAUCAGGAUAUUAAAACUUUUUGAAUUGAUUUAUCCUAGUUGUACGUAUUUUGGGGGGUACAUGUGAUAUUGUGAUACAUUUAUACAGUGUGUAAUCAUCAAACUAGGGCAAUAGGGUUAUUCAGUACCUCAAACAUUUUAUCAGACUGUUACUGUAAUGAACGUUUUCCCAUAUUUCUGCUUAUACCGAUUAAGUAAAUUUUAAUUUCCUUGACCAUAAAAUAAGUGCUUGCUGUGAGAGUAGACAAGGAACUUUGGGAUGAAUCCAUGCUCCCUGCAUGACUCAACGUUUGAGGACCAAGCAGCCACCACACACAGGCACACACAGGCACACAGAGUUGCACAGAGUCACACACAGGCACACACAGGUACACACAGCCACACACAGGCACACACAGUGGUGCUGCGUCCUGGCUCAGGGAGGGGCAUGUGAGCCGUGGCCCUCAGAGGUGAGCUCCUGCUGGGACUGCCAGGUCAGGCCCUCCUCCAGGACAUCACUGGGACCUCACUUACAGUUGCUGUCACCAACCUACCAUCACCUCACAUUGUCCCGACAGUGAUUCUGCCCUUGAACUUAUUUCUGCUUUCUCCCAUGGUCCAAGUCUCAGCUUAGCCUGGCCUGCACAGUGGCCUCAUGCUGGUUAGUCUGGUUCAGCACAGACAGUCAAGCCUCACUUUACAUGCUGCUGUCAUGCUCCCCUGGGAAACUCCAUAAAAUCACACACAUUUCAUACCAGAGGGACUUAAAAGAUCAUAGAGCUUUGAAAGUUAUAUUUUGCUUUGCAACUUUCUUCCCCAAAUGUUUUUGCAAAAGCCUAAGUGGCUCUUGGAACAGCGGGGCUCCCAGGAACACAGCUGGAGCAGGGCCCUCUUCAGCCUCCCUUAGAAUGCGAGGAGACUGAGGAGUAGACGAAGCUCAAUAGCAGCUAAAAUGGUGGUGGUGGAGUGCAGAAGAAAACUCAAGGCUUUUUUUUUCUAUCAUUAUUCCAAUUUUUAUUAACUUAAGAAUGAUCUUUUGGUCUGUGAAGGAUUUUUCAUUUAUACCCUCUUAUGCCCUAGUCUAACAUUUUGCAAAAAUUUAACCCAGCAAAACUAGGAUAAGUUAAUUAGAUGUGUCAGGAAAAUGAAACCAGGCUAGUA